rnacentral:lncRNA from 1 species
CUCAAACCCCUAAAGGACCCAGAGAUUUAACUCUAUUUACUAUUCUUGGAAAAGUUUUAUAGGUGGAAGAACAUGAAGGAUCUGAGGCUGUGCCAGUCCAUGCUGGAGAAGUACCUGACUGGACUGAGGAGUAGAAACCUCGGCCAUGGACCAUGAAUGUGCUGUUCUCCUUCCCUGGAUGACAGUCAGAACAAUGGAAUCUUCUCUGUCCUUCAGAAUUUGCUUGGUUGUUGAUUUGGGGAUCCUCAAUCUCUCAACUUAGUUCCCUAAUGUCAAGUAGUAUUGAAUCUUAGCAUCCUAUUUUAUUUGCCCCUGUUAUUUCUGUCUACCUUUAUUUUGCCAGAACUUUCUAUGGCUGUGACAGUAUGUUGGUGACACUUUAGGAUUGGCAAGGCCACAUCAGGGUCACCAGAGCCCUUACACAGGAUAGUCUUCUUGUAACACUAAUCUUGACUCAGUGGUGAGAGAGAACUUAAAACUCAGAGCAUGACCUGCCCCAGUGUGGUUCCUGAGCCUGAGAGCUCCCAGCUCCACUGUCCAACCUUCUUGGUUUAUUCUGGGUUAGGAUCUUUUGCAGUCCUUUCUUGUCCGUGUCAACAACUACUUCAGUAGAAGCUGGAAGUCCAGAAGUCAGGGGGUAGGAGUUUCUUCACCACAAAUCCAGAAGACAAUAUUCAGAUGGUCUUCUUGGUCUCCCCUUAGAGACAGAACUGAAAUUCACCCUGGACCACAUCUUUUACAUGCAGUUGGAGAGUACUGGAACACUGGAUUAGCAGAGAGUUCAGGCAGGUUGAGAAAUCUGCAGGGACUUAAGUGCUCAAGCCUCCUGAGAAGACAAAGACAACAGGGAGAGGAAGCCUCCUUACCUUUCUGUCUGCAGGAAUUCUGGAAAAGUGACAGCUGCCAUGGAGUGAUGAAGGUUACAUUUGGAUAUAGGAGAAGGUGAGCCUCAGGGCUCCUGAUGGUUUACAGGUCACCAGAACAGCUGUCACCUUAUGCAUCAUUACUUUUGGCCUCUGGUGGUUUGGGAGUUUAUUCUGCUUUCAGGAAGGAUUCUAGUACUUUCAGACAGCAGGUUUCACAGUGAUUCAGGCCUUAGAGGUUCAAAACAACCCUGAGACUCCACCUCACACCAGUCAGAAUGGCUAAGAUCAAAAAUUCAGGUGACAGCAGAUGCUGGCAAGGAUAUGGAGAAAGAGGGACAAUCCUCCAUUGCUGGUGGGAUUGCAAGCUAGAAAUCAGUCUGGUGGUUCCUCAGAAAAUUGGACAUCGUACUACCAGAAGAUCCAGCAAUUC